UCAGAUUUCUCGCCCAUACAACUUUGUACAAUCAACAAGUUUCAUACAUGUCUCCAACGAAGUUUUGGAGACCAUUAUAAUCAUACGUACUGAAAAUAUAUUCUAAUCAUGAAGCUUUGGAGAAGAUUGUACUCCUUUUAACCUCUCUUUUGAACAUCUGUAGACCUUUCAAUUCCACAAACUAGUUUACAUGAGAGACGUAUGUUCUAUGUGGCGGAUAUGGGCUAACUUAUGCUCCUCACCUAUGGAUAGCUGUGCUAGAGAAGUAGGCUGCCCCUAUAACAUUGUGUUACAUAAGACCUGAAUUAGCUCUUAGUCCCUAUAGUAGAGAUUAGUAGUACCAUUAUUUUCUCUCACCCAAUUCUUGUUGUUACAAAUAUUCUUUUACGAAGAGGGGACUGU
rnacentral:lncRNA from 1 species